UUGAAGUGGUAUCCUUUUGCUUUUUUUGCAAAAGAUUUAACGAAAGACGCGAC
rnacentral:misc_RNA from 1 species